CUAUUUUAUUUAAAAAAACAAAAAAAACAAAAAAAACAAAACCCAAACCACCUGACCCUUCCCCAACAAGGAUCCUUGACAAAGCUCUGGGAAGGGCCCAGCUCCAGCCAAGUGGGGGACAGUCAGGAAGUGUUCACGUGGCCACCACACUGCAGGCUGGUGGGCCCUGCGCCUCAAGCCCCUUCUCCUUCCCCACUGCUCCUGGCAGGAGACGCCCGACUCCCGCUCCCGUGCUCUGCCGGGGGUGGGGAGGGGGAGAGCGGGGCGGGGUGGUGGGCAUGCAGGGCCACCCGGCAGGGCCCACAGGGCAGUUGGCGGCACCUGGGGAUGGAGUUAGGGGAAAACAUGCAUGGAGAUCUUAGCAGUCCAGCUUCCCUGCAUGGCCCAGGCAAGGGUUCAAAAACGAACCAGGAUGGCCAGGCACUCAGGGCCCUGGGGAGGCCCUGAGCCUCUGCCUGGUCCCCCGACCCGAGAGGAGGGAGGGUGCUCCGGCCCUCCAGCCCUCUGCUCCACCCGUUAGGGUACGUUACUCUCGGUACCACGCUGGAGAGAUGACGGAGACUGAAGGCGGAGGACCCUGGGGAGAAGGGGGUGCCCACAGAGCCCAUGGGGCUCAGACUCUCUGACCCCAGCUCUUUCUAGUUGCCCUGUCAGGGCAGGAAGGCCGGGGGGGGGGGAUGGGCACUCCAUUCUGGACCCCUGGGAGUGGAGACGUCAGGCUCAGUGACCCUUUCUUAAGCCCGGCUCAGUGGUUCUGCCACCCAGGGCAGGAGCCAGCAGCAAGCAGUGAGAGGCCUGGCUCUGGGCACAUGAGGACACAGCAAUGAGAGUGUGGUGCUGGUCAGCGGGCCCCCCUUUUCUGCUCCCCCAGGGAUGCCAACCAGCUCCAGCCUCAGCACCAGGGGUCCCGGGAGGCUCUGCCACGGCAGAGGCUGUCACUCCGCUGCCAGGAGCUGUGGAUGAGGCUCAGGGCAUCCUCGAAUUUCUUCUUGCUAGCAGCUUCCUGGAUGGCCUUGUGGGGGAGGUCCACCUGUGGGGGGGACAUGCAGGGAACCUGUGAGGAGCAGCAGCAGGGCCCACACGUCCCGAGAGCCAAGGGCUGGGGUUCCUGGGCACGUCCCUUGGCACCAGCUUUAGCCUCUCCCCAGAACAGCUUCAUGGAGGGGCCUCUGCGGGUGGCAGGUGGUGCUCCCAAGCUCCUUCCUGGGAAGCUCCAGCUCUCGGGCAGGCCCAAGGUCCUGUUGGAGGCUAGUGCAGGGCUUCCACAGGGCUGGCACAUAGACAAGUUGCUCCAGGGUGGAAUGAGUGUCUUGUCUGGCAGGUGUUAAGCUCAGGGUGAGGAGGGAUGUCCUACAUCUUGUCCCCACCAUUUAGGUACAGCUCUAGGCUCACUAUUGGCACUUAAUUCAUGUAUUUUGACUGGAACUGAGGAGGCCAGGAAGUGGUUUCCUGAGUUCCAUUUUCAGCAUUAGCCUCAAGAAAUACUUGCUAGGGAGCCUGGGUUUUGCCUUCUUGGUCCUAACACUUUUGUGUCCAUCUCAGAGCCAUUGGUACACUGCUGUCCCCAGAACCCUAGAGGCAGGGCCCCGCCUCUGGCCUCCGUCUGGGCCACACAGGGCCGGGUCCUGGGAGCAGCUGGGGGUUCCUCUCCCAGUCUCCUCAGCUACCUGGUACACGGCUUUCCACCCAGAGCUCAGCGCGGACAGGAAUCGGUCCAGUUCAGAAGUACAGCUCAAGUAGACGACCCAAGCUGGGGGCAGCUGAUGGCUGUCCUGGGAGAACUCCUAGGCAGAGAUGGGGCCUCCAGGUGAGCAGACACAGCUUCCCGUGGCAGGGGGCCCACCUCCAUCCCCUCCAGCCCAGCUCACCAGCACACAGUACUCCUUGCCCGGCUCGGUGCAAACGGCGCUGAUGUCGGCCAGCUUGGCUGUGCCCAGGGAGCGGAAGAAGCCCGUCUGGCAAUCCUCGUGGCACGUGAAGAGGCGGUCAUCUGUGAUCACCAGGCAGCAGGGGAUGCAGGGGCUGGGAGCUACCCCCUGGGGGAUGACCUGGGAGGGCGUAGGCAGGGGUGAGAGGAGAAGCAAGUCUCUCCGGCAUCCCUCCAGGGACCCAGCCAGCCACUUUCUCCUCCCUCUAGAGGCCAGGCAGACUCUGCCCACCUCAGAAUUAUGGAUUGGGGCAGGGGUGACAGGGAGAGUGGUCCUGGUAGCAGGUGGUCCUGAGCUGCAGGGUCGUCAGUGCUUGGGCUGCCCCCAUAGGCCGCCUGUCUGGGCCCUCACAGGUUGCUCCAUGGCUGGUGUGGGUUUGGGGAAGGGACCCCAGGGGACCUGGAUGGGCUGGGCAGCCCAGGGGAAGGUAGAGGCAGGGGGGUCUCACCCCUUUAGACACAGCCUGGCAGAGGUGCUGCAUCCAGUCGGCCAUCUCAGCCUCGCUGUCGGCACUCAGCUCCAGGCAGGGCCGGUCGGCGAGGAUGACCUGGAAGGCGUGGGGCCGAUCCGUGGUGUUGGACCUCCUGCAGCCACCGCACUGCUCCCCCCUGGGCCAGAGGAGGAGGGGUGAAACAGGAGGUGGGGGUGGGGGGUGUGGUGAGAGCCCCCGGGUGGACUCAAGGCAGGCGGACACCAGGGUUUGCCCCAAAGCCCCAAGAGCUGCAGGAUGCCGGAAGGCUGUCCACAACCCCCGGGCUCUCAGGGAAGGUCUGAAGCUGCUCGGCAGCCCCGCUGCUUUCUGCACACCUUUUAUUUCCAAGAUUACCAAGAUGCUUCCAGAUACCUAAUCAUGGCCUGUGAUUGGCUGAGACCCAGCUCUCAGCUCUGCCUGCCAGGAACCAGCUCACACCCAUUCAUGUCUUCCAGGGGCCUGGGGCUUUUCACAAGUCUGUGUGGUCCCGGCUCCCUCUCCAGGUUAGGAGCCUCGUGGGGAAGGAUCUGCCUCCCCUGUCAGUCUGGACCCUUUCCAGGACCACAGAUGGCUGGCUUUAUAGAAAAUCUCUCAAAUCCUGGGAUGAGUCUAUGCCAGAGCCUCUGUGGAAGGCGAACCUGAGCAGAGAGAUCCCUGCUGGGGACCUAGCAGCCCAUCAAACUCCAGGCCCAGAGCUGCUGGGUUCCCACCUGAGGACCACGAAGCAGGUCUUCCAGUGCUCCUUGCCCAGGGCUGGAGCAGAGAACCUCUAUCUCAGGGACACUACUCUCUCUACGUGGGGUCUCACCUCACACUUCGAUUCCUGGGCCACAAAUUUGGCCAACGCCAGCUUCUCCAUAGUGGCAUCAGUCAGGAUGCUGGGGUAGGGCGGUUCCCGACAGCCUUUGAUCAUGGCCGACUUCAAAGAAACCAAGAAGAACCUGCA